CCUACGGGAGACUGCAGUGAGGAAUAUUGGUCAAUGGACGCAAGUCUGAACCAGCCAUGCAGCGUGCAGGAUGACGGCCCUAUGAGUUGUAAACUGCUUUUGUACUAGGGUAAACCCCGAUCCGUGUAUCGUAUUGAAGGUAUCGGACGAAUAAUGAUCGGCUAAUUCCGUGCCAGCAGCCGCGUGAAUCGGGAGGAUCCGAGCGUUAUCCGGAUUUAUUGGGUUUAAAGGGAGCGUAGGCGGUUUGAUAAGUUAGAGGUGAAAUGUCGGGGCUCAACCCCGAAACUGCCGCUAAUACUGUUGGACUAGAGAACAGUUGCGGUAGGCGGAAUGUAUGGUGUAGCGGUGAAAUGCUUAGAGAUCAUACAGAACACCGAUUGCGAAGGCAGCUUACCAAACUAUAUCUGACGUUGAGGCACGAAAGCGUGGGUAGCAAACAGGAUUAGAUACCCCAGUAGUC
rnacentral:rRNA from 1 species